AUUGAACGCUGGCGGCAGGCCUAACACAUGCAAGUCGAGCGGAGCGGCGGACGGGUGAGUAAAGCAUAGGAAUCUGCCUGGGAGUGGGGGAUAACGUCAGGAAACGGGAGCUAAUACAGCAUACUAGCAGAUGAGCCUCGUUGGGAUUAGCUAGUUGGUGGGGGAAAGGCCUACCAAGGCGACGAUCCCUAACUGGUCUGAGCGGAUGAUCAGUCACCCUGGAACUGAGACACGGUCCAGACUCCUACGGUAGGCAGCAGUGGGGAAUAUUGGACAAUGGGCGAAAGCCUGAUGCAGCCAUGCCGCGUGUGUGAAGAAGGUCUUAGGAUUGUAAAGCACUUUAAGUUGGGAGGCGUUACCAACAGAAUAAGCACCGGCUAACUUCGUGCCAGCAGCCGCGGUAAUUC
rnacentral:rRNA from 1 species